AUUGAACGCUGGCGGCAGGCCUAACACAUGCAAGUCGAGCGGAGCGGCGGACGGGUGAGUAAUGCCUAGGAAUCUGCCUGGUAGUGGGGGAUAACGUCCGGAAACGGGCGCUAAUACCGCAUACUAUCAGAUGAGCCCAAGUGGGAUUAGGUAGUUGGUGAGGUAAAGGCUCACCAAGCCGACGAUCUCUAGCUUGUCUGAGAGGAUGACCAGCGACACGGGGACUGGGACACGGACCAGACAACUACGGGAAGCAGCAGUGGGGAAUAUUGCGCAAUGUGCGCAACCCUUACGCAGCCAGGCCGCGUGAAUGAAGAAGGCCUUCGGGUUGUAAAUUUCUUGCGGUAGAGAUGCGUUAACUACAGAAGAAGCACCGGCGAACUCCGUGCCAGCAGCCGCGGUAAUAC
rnacentral:rRNA from 1 species